AUUGAACGCUGGCGGCAGGCUUAACACAUGCAAGUCGAGCGAGCGGCGGACGGGUGAGUAACGUCUGGGAAACUGCCUGAUGGAGGGGGAUAACUACUGGAAACGGUAGCUAAUACCGCAUACCAUCAGAUGUGCCCAGAUGGGAUUAGCUAGUAGGUGGGGUAAUGGCUCACCUAGGCGACGAUUCCUAGCUGGUCUGAGAGGAUGACCAGCCACACUGGAACUGAGACACGGUCCAGACUCCUACGGGAGGCAGCAGUGGGGAAUAUUGCAACAUGGAGGAAAGCCUUAUGCAGCCAGGCCGCGUGUGUGAAUAAGGCCUUCGGGUUGUAAAACACUUUCAGCGAGGAGGCUUUACUCGCAGAAGAAGCAACGGCUAACGCCGUGCCAGCAGCCGCGGUAAUAC
rnacentral:rRNA from 1 species